GACAGAGGAUGCAAGCGUUAUCCGGAAUGAUUGGGCGUAAAGCGUCUGUAGGUGGCUUUUUAAGUCCGCCGUCAAAUCCCAGGGCUCAACCCUGGACAGGCGGUGGAAACUACCAAGCUGGAGUACGGUAGGGGCAGAGGGAAUUUCCGGUGGAGCGGUGAAAUGCGCAGAUAUCAGGAGGAACACCGGUGGCGAAGGCGGGUCUCUGGGCAACAACUGACGCUGAGGAGCGAAAGCGUGGGGGAGCGAACAGG
rnacentral:rRNA from 1 species